rnacentral:rRNA from 1 species
GACGAACGCUGGCGGCGUGCCUAAUACAUGCAAGUUGAGCGCUGAAGGUUGGUACUUGUACCAACUGGAUGAGCAGCGAACGGGUGAGUAACGCGUGGGGAAUCUGCCUUUGAGCGGGGGACAACAUUUGGAAACGAAUGCUAAUACCGCAUAAAAUCUUUAAACACAAGGUUCAAGUUUGAAAGAUGCAAUUGCAUCACUCAAAGAUGAUCCCGCGUUGUAUUAGCUAGUUGGUGAGGUAAAGGCUCACCCAGGCGAUGAUACAUAGCCGACCUGCGAGGGUGAUAUGCCACACUGGGACUCGGACACGGCCCAAACACCUAGGGGGGAGAGAGGUAGGGGAACUCUGGCGAAGGACGCAAGUCUGACCGGGCGACACCGCGCGAGAGAAGAAGGUUUUCGGGUCGUAUAACUCUGUUUGAAGAGAAGAAAGCAGAUGUGUGUGUAACGCUCAUCAACUGACGGUAACUACACAAAAAGGCACGGCUAACUACGUG